rnacentral:lncRNA from 1 species
CUCCUAUGAAUUUUCUUAAAUAUCAUCGUGUCUAAGGUUAAAACAACAAAUUGCCUUCGACUUACAUUCCCCGGAAGCAAUUCCGCAAGCCAGAAUCAGCUGAGCCGCCCUUUUCUUCUCUGCCACGGACCGAAGCAAAUCAUCCAACCACUUCUUCACCACGGCCCCAAAUACAUGGCACCAGCGCGCGGAUGCUCCUCAGAACGAACCAAAUCCGGCGAGCUUACAAGGUUGCAUGGUAAGCUCCGGGGCAAUCCACGACGCUGGCAUCGGCCGCUCGAUCGCGGGAAAAGAUGGGCACCCCGGCCUCCAAAAUUGGUGGAGAAGGUACGGCGGUGGUGAUAGAGCUACUCGACGGCGUUGGACGGCCGGGGGUAACAACUGAUGGUUGGGAGAUGCGGUUGUAGCGGCGGUUGCCAAGCGGGCGCGAGCUGAAAGUUACUUCGCAAUGAGGAAGUCCGGGACUAGGGUGUCCUCGGAUCGUCCGCCUAUUCUCAUGAGACGGACUCCCGGGUCUGUUCGACUGUGAGUAGAAGUAUCGGAUUCAAGAUGAACUCUUUCAAAGACUUGGCGUACAAUCCAAGGCGAUGUAGUAAUCGGCAAAUCCUUUCUCUAUUGUAACCGACCUUGUGUAACCCUAGCACCCCUGGCAUCUAUAUAAGCUAGGGGCCCUAGUUCGUAGGGGACAUUAAGUUCAUGGCGAUUAGGGUUUAGACCACAACAUCCAAUCUUGAAGUAGAUCAACUAUGUACUCUGUACCACUCCAUCAAUAACAACA